rnacentral:rRNA from 1 species
UGGUUGAUCCUGCCAGUAGCAUAUGCUUGUCUCAAAGAUUAAGCCAUGCAUGUCUAAGUACAAGCCGCUAGACGGCGAAACCGCGAAUGGCUCAAUAAAUCAGUUAUGGUUCCUUAGAACAGUCAAUCCUACUUGGAUAACUGUGGUAAUUCUAGAGCUAAUACAUGCACCCAAGCCCCGACUCGGGGGGCAACUCUCGAGAAAGGGCGCUUUUAUUAGAUCAAAACCAGUCGAGAGCUUCGGCUCUCGUUAAGUUUGGUGACUCUGGAUAACUUCACGCUGAUCGCACGGUCUUCGCACCGGCGACGAUUCUUCCAAAUGUCUGCCUUAUCAACUGUCGAUGGUAGGUUAUGCGCCUACCAUGGUUGCAACGGGUAACGGGGAAUCGGGGUUCGAUUCCGGAGAGGGAGCCUGAGAAACGGCUACCACAUCCAAGGAAGGCAGCAGGCGCGCAAAUUACCCACUCCCGGCACGGGGAGGUAGUGACGAAAAAUAACGAUACGGGACUCUUCCGAGGCCCCGUGAUUGGAAUGAGUACACUUUAAAUCCUUUAACGAGGACCCAUUGGAGGGCAAGUCUGGUGCCAGCAGCCGCGGUAACUCCAGCUCCAAUAGCGUAUAUUAAAGUUGUUGCGGUUAAAAAGCUCGUAGUCGGAGUUCUGUCUUCGGCCGAGGGGGGAUUCUGCCUACACGGUAUGAGUCUCGUUCCCUUUGGGUGUGCGGUGUCAAAGCCGUGCACUCUUAACGGUCGGACAAGUCCGUCGGAGUGUGGUUAUUGUUGGAAGGGCAACCGACCAAUGAGGCCACCGUAAUCGUUCGGGGUGCCUUUAAUCGGGUGUCACGGGCGGCCGACAUAGUUUACUUUGAACAAAUUAGAGUGCUCAAAGCAGGUGACUACCGCCUGAAUAGUACAGCAUGGAAUGAUGAAAGAGGACCUCGGUCUGAUUUUGCUGGUCUUUAACGGUCGGGCUUCGGCCCGGCCUAUGCAGACCCGAGGUAAUGGUCAAUAGAGACGGACGGGGGCAUCCGUACUGCGGCGACAGAGGUGAAAUUCUUGGACCGCCGCAAGACGAACGACAGCGAAGGCAUUUGCCAAGAAUGUUUUCCUUGAUCAAGAACGAAAGUUAGAGGUUCGAAGGCGAUCAGAUACCGCCCUAGUUCUAACCAUAAACGAUGCCAACUAGCGAUCCGCCGGUGUUACUCCCAUGACUCGGCGGGCAGCUUCCGGGAAACCAAAGUCUUUGGGUUCCGGGGGAAGUAUGGUUGCAAAGCUGAAACUUAAAGGAAUUGACGGAAGGGCACCACCAGGAGUGGAGCCUGCGGCUUAAUUUGACUCAACACGGGAAACCUCACCAGGCCCGGACACUGGAAGGAUUGACAGAUUGAGAGCUCUUUCUUGAUUCGGUGGGUGGUGGUGCAUGGCCGUUCUUAGUUGGUGGAGCGAUUUGUCUGGUUAAUUCCGAUAACGAACGAGACUCUAGCCUGCUAAAUAGGUGCCGGG